rnacentral:rRNA from 1 species
GUGAGGAAUAUUGGUCAAUGGGCGCAAGCCUGAACCAGCCAUGCCGCGUGCAGGAAGACGGUCCUAUGGAUUGUAAACUGCUUUUAUUUGGGAAUAAACUCCGGUACGUGUACCGGCCUGAAGGUACCAAAUGAAUAAGCACCGGCUAACUCCGUGCCAGCAGCCGCGGUAAUACGGAGGGUGCAAGCGUUAUCCGGAAUCAUUGGGUUUAAAGGGUCCGCAGGCGGUCUUAUAAGUCAGUGGUGAAAGCCUACAGCUCAACUGUAGAACUGCCAUUGAUACUGUAGGACUUGAAUUCGAUCGAAGUGGGCGGAAUGUGACAUGUAGCGGUGAAAUGCUUAGAUAUGUCACAGAACACCGAUAGCGAAGGCAGCUCACUAGGUCUGGAUUGACGCUCAGGGACGAAAGCGUGGGGAGCAAACAGGAUUAGAAACCCUGGUAGUC